GACGAACGCUGGCGGCGCGCCUAACACAUGCAAGUCGAGCGAGAACCAGGGCUUCGGCCCUGGGGACAGCGGCGAACGGGUGAGUAACACGUGGAUAACCUGCCCUCGGCACCGGAAUAGCCCGAGGAAACUCGGAUUAAUGCCGGAUGGCCCCACAUCCCUGCGGGGAACGUGGGAAAAGGUAGCUUCGGCCUCUGGCCGAGGAUGGGUCCGCGGUGGAUUAGCUUGUUGGCGGGGUAAUGGCCCACCAAGGCGACGAUCCAUAGCUGGUCUGAGAGGAUGAUCAGCCACACUGGGACUGAGACACGGCCCAGACUCCUACGGGAGGCAGCAGUGGGGAAUCUUGCGCAAUGGGCGAAAGCCUGACGCAGCGACGCCGCGUGCGGGAAGAAGGCCUUCGGGUUGUAAACCGCUUUCAGGAGGGACGAAGCCACUCGGGUGAAUAGCCCAGAGGGUGACGGUACUUCCAGAAGAAGCCCCGGCUAACUACGUGCCAGCAGCCGCUGUAACAC
rnacentral:rRNA from 1 species